rnacentral:piRNA from 1 species
AUUGAUAGAACUUUGGCCCAAAG